UACGUAGGUGGCGAGCGUUGUCCGGAAUUACUGGGUGUAAAGGGCGUGUAGGCGGGGAUGUAAGUCAGGUGUGAAAUUCCGUGGCUCAACCACGGACGUGCAUCUGAAACUAUAUCUCUUGAGUGCUGGAGAGGAAAGCGGAAUUCCUAGUGUAGCGGUGAAAUGCGUAGAUAUUAGGAGGAACACCAGUGGCGAAGGCGGCUUUCUGGACAGUAACUGACGCUGAGGCGCGAAAGCGUGGGGAGCAAACAGG
rnacentral:rRNA from 1 species